rnacentral:rRNA from 1 species
GGGGAAUAUUGCGCAAUGGGCGAAAGCCUGAUGCAGCAACGCCGCGUGAGGGAAGAAGGUCUUCGGAUUGUAAACCUUUGUCCUUGGUGAAGAAAAGAAUGACGGUAGCCAAGGAGGAAGCUCCGGCUAACUACGUGCCAGCAGCCGCGGUAAUACGUAGGGAGCAAGCGUUGUCCGGAUUUACUGGGUGUAAAGGGUGCGUAGGCGGCUCUGCAAGUCAGGCGUGAAAACCAUGGGCUUAACCCAUUGGAUUGCGUUUGAAACUGUGGAGCUUGAGUGAAGUAGAGGUAGGCGGAAUUCCCGGUGUAGCGGUGAAAUGCGUAGAGAUCGGGAGGAACACCAGUGGCGAAGGCGGCUUACUGGGCUUUAACUGACGCUGAGGCACGAAAGCAUGGGUAGCAAACA